UCCUUCCUGUGACCCCUGACCUGCCAAGCCUGCGCAGGCGCGUUAGAAGAUCGCGGGAGCAUUCCAGACUCCGUAGAAACAGACGUAAACAUUGGUCAUCUGUGGUGAAAUACGUCCGAUUUGGAGCCUUGUGUGACUUUUGUACAAAUCAGCCAUGUCUCAGAGAAGUCGCAGAAGUAACUCAGUCUCCAGCCAGAAGUCUGACGUAUCGGAGCGGUCAGAGCGGCGAGGAAAGAGUCCUCGGAGCCCACGGUCUGAUCGAAAAGAUGGUUCUUCAGAGCGAGAGUCUUCAGAGAAUUUUCACACUGAGUGUCGGGCGGGGUUUGUUGCCAUAGUAGGGAACACCAAGGACCACAUCAAGUCUCGUGACCAGCUACAACAAGCCUUGCAGAAUACUGGCCGUAAUCCUUCCAACCAGACACUGGACAAGUACUGGACAAAAAACACAGUGUACAUCAAUUUUGAUGAGUUUUGUGACAUCAUGCGGAAGGAGAAAGCAACAACGAAAGGUGAUCUGGUCAAGGCCUUCCGAACAAUCGACAUCAACGGGGAUGGUUACAUCACACAUGACGAGCUGUACAGAGUUUUAACGCAGAGGGGUGAGAAGAUGUCCAGAGAUGAGGUGAGGAGACUGAUAGAUGAUGCAGACUGUAACAAGGAUGGGAAGCUGGACUAUGGAGAGUUCUGCAGUAUGAUGCUGUCUACAGUAGAAAAGUGUAAGAAACAGUCGAUGGAGAAGCUCGAGAAGCUGGAGGCAAAGCGGCACCUGGAGAGACGACCGUCAUCGGCGCGGUCCCGGGACGGGUCACCUGGCGAUAGACAAUCACCAAAACCUGCCUCAAGACCACCAUCAAGGAUCAGAGAUGAGUCGCCUCGUGACAAGCCACCCUCGCGUCCUUCCUCAGCCAGAUCCACCCCGCGGGCAUCGCCAAAAACAGUAGGAAAAGACCACGAGUCUCCACAUCCCUCACCCAGAGGUCAGGUCACAGAAAUCUCCAAGUCUCCUGUGGCCAAGAGGAAGGUCAAAGUACCAUUACCCAAGAACCUGGAGAGCUGGAACCAUGUCCAGAGGAAAGGCUGUUUCCAUUUUGAGGAGGAUGGUUCGAUCAUCAGCCAUGAGUACAAGAUGGACCUGCCCCAUGCCACCAACGUGUGGAUCACAGUCCAGCCACUGUACCUGCACAGGGAGGAUAAAGAUGAGCCAGUGGAGAACCCAGUAGACACGACACUGGUGGUGCUGAGAGAUGGAGACAAGGACAGCUUCAUCCAGUUUACAGACAUCAGGGAUGGAGAGAAGUACUGCCUGCGGUGUGACCUGAGGUCCGGAUCAUACCGACUGCUGCCCUUCACCACAGGCUGUAGGUUACGGAAGAGAAGGUCUCAGCCGAAGCAGGAGGUGCCGCUAGUCGUCACCAAGUCUGGGGAGAUCGACCUGUCCAGACCAUUCAGGGACACUCUGACAGACAUCUUUGAGAUCCUUGACCUUGACGGGAACGGGCUGCUGAGCCGUGAGGAGUUUAACCUGUUCCAGGUGCGCACCAGUGGGGAGGAGGUGGAUGACGAGGCUUGGGAAGUCGUGGAAGAGAAUUUUGAGCUGAAGAAAGGGGAGCUGACUAGGAAAGGUUUCACAGACCUGAACCUGAUGGAAGCCCAGGACAAUGAGGGGGACACAGAGGAAUUGUGGGUAACGCUGAGCAGCAUGGGAUACAACAAAGCCCUCAGACAAGAUGAGGCCUGCCCCUUUGUGAUUGACAUCUAUGCAGAGGAGUGUAAACCAAAGUUGGCCUUGGAGGGCUUGCUGGAGGACAAUGAAGAUGUUGAGGCUGCCAUGUGCAAGUUCAUCAGCAGUAAAGGUGAGCCCCGUGAGCUGAAGGGAGGGAAGGACGUGGUCCUGUACACCUACAGCAGUGACUCACGCAUCAGCACAGCUGUGGAGAACAAGGCUGGUAGGAAGGCUGCAGUACAGCUGGACUGCACUAGGAGUAAAAACUGCAGCAGCCACAGAGAUGACCUGGACUACACUGCCGAGGCACCGCCUAGGAAAACUACAAUUGGCCAUCACAUCCUGCCCAGCAAUGACAGACAGGAGUGGAUAUACAGAUGCAAGGAGGCUGUUCUGUAGGGGAACUGGCAGGAGGACAGGGUUGUUGUGCAGAGGUUAAAGGGAUAAGGGGCUGUGCUAUUAGAGAUGCAUUUUAGGAAGAUGUAAAUGUACGAGAUGGUCUGUUGCACUAGACUUUAUAAAAGAACCUCAGAGUUAAAAAUAGGGUCCAAUUUUUUCCAUAGUUGAUGAAAGCCUCAAAAUUCAUGUUUUGUGGUUUGCUUUGUAUUAUGGGCAAGUACAUGACAGUAGGUGUGGUUGUAUCGUGACUUAAGGACAUUGUUGAAUUUACUUGAUACAUACGUGUAAUAAAUGUACAUUGGUGUGCUUUAUUUUUCUAUGUAAGCUGUGAAGAGAUGUACAUUUUUGUCGCUUGAGUAGCUCAGAACAUAUCUACUAAUUUUUGGUAAUGUAUAUGUAUGAAGCAUUGUGUUAUAUUUCAGAUGUACAGUAAAUGAUUACUUUAUUAUUUCUGACUUGGAUCUGCCUCUUUGUAAACUUAACCUUCCAAAUGCUUGUAGGUUAUAUCUAGAUAAAGCAAGAAAGGAGUGGGGAAUCUGUCAGAAACUUCAUAAAACAGCGUUUCUUAUUAAUAAUUUAUCAUAUUUGGGGACUACCUUUGGUAUAAGCUUCCAUGGUGGUUUUAGGAUUUAUUGAUGUAGACGUGAAGUAAAAAAUAAAAGAGAACAUGUCCCAACUUGUAUUGUACAUAUAGUAGUGCCAAAAGUAAUUCCUGGCACAAGCAUCAGUGAAAUACUAGUACCCUGUUGUUUAGAAUGGUUAUGAUGUGGACCACAGCUUUCAUGCCCAUCCAUAAGUGUGUGGUGGUGAUCUCUUUUCCUUUUCUUAGUAGCACAACAUGCCCGUAGCCAGAAUUUUGGUUGGGGGUUGGGGGGGUUCUUUUUAGUACUUGUGGGACCAUCGAGCGCAGCUGACUAUGGGGGUCCGGGGGCAUGCUCCCCCGGAAAAAAAUGAAAUAUUGACCCUGUGAAACGUCAUUUCCUACAUUUUGAGGCCAAAAUUCACUGGCUAAGUUUAAUGGAAUUUCUAUUGAAAUACACAAGACUUUUGGCAUAAGUCUUUGAGGCUGACUCCCCCAACAUAUUUUCAUCAUGUCCAAUACCAAAGGUGCGAGGCUUUGCAAUGGAGGUCCAGGGGAAUUUUGAAAUCUGGACCCUCUGAAAAGCCAUUUCCUGCACUUUCCGAGGCAAAUUUUGCUAAUAGACUCACUAAGAUUGAAUGAAAUGUCUAUCAGUGAAAAAUACAAAUCAGUCAUGCCUUUGGAAAAAAAUCUUGACAUGAAAAAGUGG